UGAGGAAGAAUUCUGGUUUCUGUGACUCACUUCGGGGAAGAAAGGAGUGGGAGGCAGGAAGGCAGAAGAAGGUCAGAGAGGGAGUUUAUAUACGAGGCCGCUUCUGAGACUUUCCAAUCCCUCUUAGUUCAAAGUACUCAGUGUACUCAGCAUGCCCAAGCACCAUACUUUGGGGUGUAGUUUUUUGAGCCCCAGUACUCCUCUCACUGAUCAGAGGUAACAGGGGAUUGAGGAGCUGACUCACUGGAACUUAAAAGCACACAAGACCAAGAAAAACACCAGAAUGCAAAUCUAGGAAUUUACAAUGACAAACGAUUGUCACAACGACUGGAAAACGCAGAGUAUGUGUGAUCGGCACAUUCUCUCCCAAUAGGCAAAACCAAAUACAAUUAGAUCAAGUUAUAAUCAGAAGGCUCCAAAGUGGACCCAAAACUGGGAAGUCGAUGAAUCAGUUGGUUCCAGGCAUCAAUCUGAUUUCUGUGUGCUGGCAUGGGAAAUGCCAACAUAUGUCUCCAGCUCCCUCCUUUUGCUAUGUUUUCAAAACCAACCAACCCUACUGCUGAUUGGAACUUGUUUAGAUAUGUAAAUAUAUUCAAAUAAAUUAUAAAUAGCUGGAAGCUAUUUUUUUCUGCCCCAGUAGAUUUUAUAUUUGUGAUUCAAUCUAUCAUGCAGUACUCUUAAAAUGUUAUUCUCACAAGCAACUUCUCCUCAUUUCCUGAUUCAUUUUUUCUGUAGGAGGUGGGAGGUGAUAAAGAAGAGGGAAUGAUAAGUUAUUACAGUUCCAGAAAAGGUUAUAUUUCCCCUCAUUUCCAGGAAGCAUCAGAAUAAGAAAUCAAAGACUGCACUUGAUUGUCUCACUAGAAUUCCACAGGAGUCCACAGACCUUAGAUGGAGACUGUGAAUAUUCAUUGACAUCAACUAGUACUGCUCAGAAGAGUCUGUUUCUUCAUACCCUUCUAAUAUAACCUGAAACCUGUAUGUAGAAUGUUUAUGAUUUAUUCUCCCUUUAAAAAAAUAUCAGAGACUCAGAGUCAUUUUCAAUAAUAUUUUAUUUCCUACAAGCUUUAUUUCUAACGAUUUUGGCAGUUCAAUUUUCCAUCCAGUUGAGCCAAGAUUGAUCACUAAGUUCUCCUAGGUUUAGACAUUGAAGUUUGUUCACUGUAACGGUCUUGUUUACUAAGUAUGUCUCACCACUUUUUCUGGUAGGUCCCUGGAAGACCAAUUUCUUGUACAAAGUAAAACGACAUUUGAACUCGGUCAUAGCUCGUGGGAACACCAUUUGAACACACUCUUUUGAGGGUUUGCAGGAAGAUCUGGGGGAUGAGAGCUACAAUAAUCUAAUCUGGCCACUGGGGAAGAGUAAAUUACUGCUCUCUGUAGUGUACAUGACCUUCACCCCAGUUAUAUUUUUGAAAUAAUUACAUGAGAGUCUGUCAGUGGUGUCUAUGGGAGAGUUAAACAGAAUUUACAAUUGAGUGGUCUGUUCACCCUUGGAUGUAGCUCAAUGUCUUGAGAUAAAUUUGCAAUUCAAAUGAUAAAAAGUCUGAAAUUCCUUCAAAGCAGCCAUUUCAUUCAGAAUGGUAGUCAAGUGAUGUCUAAAAUUGGAUAGAAUAACCAUAUAGUUGGCUUGCUGACAAUUUUUAUACAAUGGCUAAAUAUUUUGAUUUGAUACAUCUAACCUGAGUUGAAUACUUGUUUAAUUUUAGUGAUAUGUAAUUUUAGUCAAACAGUGGGUCCUAUAGAUCUCAUAUCAAUCCAUGCUAGACAUAGACAUGUGUAAUUGAUUAUUCUUUGGAUCAAAUACAGCCUCAGUAUAUUACCUCGCUGUGCUAAUGAAGUUUGCUGGCAGCACUUGAUUGAGAGGUACUAAUGUAGGAAAAGAAGGCCAAUAUUCUUUGUUGGCUUUUUGCAGUUAAAAUUUAUCCUUGUCAAUGUUCUUAGGGCCUGUGAGAUAAAGUUCCCUCAAAAAUACAUAGCAACAGACCCAAUUAUAACUUUUUAAGAGAGACUCACCUUAAAUAUAAACCAUGCAACCAUCAAUCAUGGGAAAGCAUGAGUGACUAUGUUAGUAUACUUAAAAAAUAGACUUAAGGA
rnacentral:lncRNA from 10 species